GAUGAACGCUGGCGGUGUGCCUAACACAUGCAAGUCGAGCGAACAGACGAGGAGCUUGUUCCCUUGCCGUUAGCGGGGGACGGGUGAGUAACACGUGCAUAACCUUCUUAUUAUUCUGGGGUAAUUACGGGAAACAGGUGCUACUACCGGAUAAUAUAUCGAACGGGAGGAUUCAGGAGUGAAUGAGGGUUUUGCUGUUACUUAUAGACGGUGCCGUGCUGGAUUAGUGAGUGGGUAAGGUAAAGGCUAACCAAGGCGACGAUGCGUAGCCGAGCUGAGAGGGUGAUCAGCCACACUGGAACUGAGACACGGUCCAGACUCCUACGGGAGGCAGCAGUGGGGAAUCUUCGACAAUGGGCGGAAGCCUGAUCCAGCCAUACCGCGUGGGUGAAGAAGGUCUUCGGGUCGUAAAGCCCUUUUGUUAGGAAAGAAAAAAAGUAUGAUAAAACCCGGACGUUUUGACGGUACCUAAAGAGUAAGCCCCGGCUAACUUCGUG
rnacentral:rRNA from 1 species